GGAGGCAGCAGUGGGGAAUCUUGCGCAAUAGGGGAAACCCUGCACGCAGCGACGCCGCGUGGAGGAUGAAGGUCUUCGGGUUGUAAACUCCUUUUCUCAGGGAAAAUGAUGAUGGUACCUGAGGAAUAAGCCACGGCUAACUCUGUGCCAGCAGCCGCGGUAAGACAGAGGUGGCGAGCGUUGUUCGGAAUCACUGGGCUUAAAGGGCGAGUAGGCGGUGGAGCAAGUCUGAGGUGGAAUCCUAUGGCUUAACCAUAGAAUUGCCUUAGAAACUGCUUUACUUGAGUCAGUGAGGGGAGGGCGGAAUUCCUGGUGUAGCGGUGAAAUGCGUAGAUAUCAGGAGGAAGGCCUGUGGCGAAGGCGGCCCUCUGGCACUGAACUGACGCUGAGGCGCGAAAGCGUGGGGAGCAAACAGGAUUAGAUACCCUGGUAGUCCACGCCCUAAACGGUGGGCAUUAGGUGUAGGGCUCGUAAGGGUUCUGUGCCGAAGGAAACCAUUAAAUGCCCCGCCUGGGGAGUACGGCCGCAAGGUUGAAACUCAAAUGAAUUGACGG
rnacentral:rRNA from 1 species